GACGAACGCUGGCGGCGUGCCUAAUACAUGCAAGUUGAGCGCUGAAGGUUGGUACUUGUACCGACUGGAUGAGCAGCGAACGGGUGAGUAACGCGUGGGGAAUCUGCCUUUGAGCGGGGGACAACAUUUGGAAACGAAUGCUAAUACCGCAUAAAAACUUUAAACACAAGUUUUAAGUUUGAAAGAUGCAAUUGCAUCACUCAAAGAUGAUCCCGCGUUGUAUUAGCUAGUUGGUGAGGUAAAGGCUCACCAAGGCGAUGAUACAUAGCCGACCUGAGAGGGUGAUCGGCCACAUUGGGACUGAGACACGGCCCAAACUCCUACGGGAGGCAGCAGUAGGGAAUCUUCGGCAAUGGACGAAAGUCUGACCGAGCAACGCCGCGGGAGUGAAGAAGGGUGUCGGAUCGUAAAACUCUGUUGGUAGGGAAGAACGUUGGUGAGAGUGGAAAGCUCAUCAAGUGACGGUAACUACCCAGAAAGGGACGGCUAACUACGUG
rnacentral:rRNA from 1 species